GGCGGGGCUGGCCCCGGCAGGGUCAGGCUGCGCCGCGGCGGGAUUGGUCAGGCUGCGCCCCGCAGUUCCGCCCGCAAGCGGCCGGCAGGGAGCGGGGAAGCCCCACCCCCGAUCCGCGGGGCCGGCAGAGCGUCCUCCUUGCUGCCGAGCGGGGUGCGGCCUCAGCGGGGGAGGGAGCCGCUGGGUUCCGCGAGGCGCGUUGCUGAAGCGGCUGUUAAGCUGGCUACGUGCAGGAGCGGACACGGCUGAGAGCGUGGGGCAGCCCAGGCGGCGCGCUGAAUGGGAACCCUAGGAGCGCCCCGACACCGGCCUGGUGCAGGCUCAGCUCCUGUGGGGAGCAGGCCCCGGCCCUGUUCGCAGCAGCCGUGCGUGUCGGGGGGAGAGUGCACCUUGGCACGGGGAGGCACGGCCACCGCCCGUGAAAGUGUCGCAGAGCAACUGAAGGAGUGCACUGUCGACCACUUCUAUAGUAUUGAAAAGUUAUUACAAACUGAAGUACAUGCAGCAGAGAAAGCAGAAGUCAUUUUAGGCCAAAUGAUACUGUAUGCAGUUGCUGUUCAACAGUGUUCCUAUUGCGCCUGGACUCACAGAGGCUUUAACGUCAGUGUGUGGGCUAGAGAAGGGCCGUGUUGGCUUUUAAGACGGAUUCUCUUCAUUUGCAGUCACCCCAUUGGUCAGAGGCUCUUUUUAGAAACUUCCCAUUAUUUUGUUAUUCUUUGAAUCCGACAUUCUUCCUGUUUUAUUCUCUCUGUCCUUAUCACUUAUUAUUUUCAAGGCCUUCCUUCUACUUGCUCAUCAGGCCUUUCUUUACAACACAUAUUUCCUUAACUAAACUUAAGCUAACUUUAAUUCUUUAAUUUUAUACUUAUCCUACAUUCUCCACCUUAAAACCUGACUAUGUGGAAUUUACUACAUUAAGCAUUUUAAAAAUACAUCUACAAUUUUGCAAUAUUUUGUACCACUGAUAAACUUGACAGUGCAGAAUUAAAAUGACCAUUACCACGAUUACAUUGUCAUUAAAAGCUUUAGUAAUUAUCAGUCUUCAGCAUGGAUGUAAUUCCACAUUGUACACUUAUUUCCACCAGCAGGGGCUAGUUAGCUUCCAAAUUUCCUGUUCCUGGCUGUUAAAAUGCAGGUUUAAAGGGCAUCCUCCCAUAAUCUGAAUUCAGCCACAUUACAAAAAUGGGUAUAGGAUGUGAAAUCUUUCCAUUUAUCACCGCACGAAUUUUGAUGUGAAACAAAACAUUGGUCAAUCAGAAUAACAGUCUUUGUAUUUAUACCGAAAGUUAUUUCCAGCAACUACACAAUAUUUACCAUUCCCAGCCUAAGCAGUUUUUACUAAAACUAGUAAAAAUCAUGGCCUUAAUAAAGACAAUGGAUUUAUGGCUUACUACAAAAACUCCUCCCCUCUCCACUUUUUGUCCAAGGGUGUUAAUGGGCUACUUCACCUUGAGGGGUCCCUUAGAAUCUAUUCUGGAAUAGAUUGCCUAGGGAAGUUGUGGAAUCUCCAUCUCUGGAGAUAUUUAAGAGUAGGUUAGA